ACUAGGAUAGCCCAGUUGGUUAGAGCAUGAGACUCUUAAUCUCAAGGUCAUGGGUUCGAUUCCCACGUUUGGCA